rnacentral:rRNA from 1 species
CGAGGAAUUUUGCGCAAUGGGCGAAAGCCUGACGCAGCAACGCCGCGUGGGUGAUGAAGGCCUUCGGGUCGUAAAGCCCUUUUGUCGGGGACGAAGUGGUGACGGUACCCGACGAAGAAGCCACGGCUAACUACGUGCCAGCAGCCGCGGUAAUACGUAGGUGGCGAGCGUUGUCCGGAUUUAUUGGGCGUAAAGCGCGCGCAGGUGGUGCGGUAAGUCCUGUGUGAAAUCUCCCGGCUCAACUGGGAGGGUGCGGAGGAGACUGCCGGACUGGAGGCACUCAGAGGCCGGUGGAAUUCCCGGUGUAGUGGUGAAAUGCGUAGAGAUCGGGAGGAACACCAGUGGCGAAGGCGGCCGGCUGGGGGUGACCUGACGCUGAGGCGCGAAAGCGUGGGGAGCGAACCGGAUUAGAUACCCGCGUAGUCC